rnacentral:lncRNA from 1 species
GAUCACCUGGAACUCCACACACCCAAACCGCAGGUCCUCAGUUCUUCUUGCCCAAGGGUUUGACCAGAAUGAAGGGGAGAAGUGAGACCAAAAAGGAGGAUUGGUUAAACUCCUGGAUGGAGAACCCUCAGAUAAGGAGAAUCACCUAGACUGCAGUUUCCAGAAAAUGUAAAUGUCAAAAAGUGAAAGGGGUGGCUCCCCUCGUGCCAGCCCUGCGAGCAGCCCUAGCCUUUGGUGAUGGCCUCUUCUGACGUCUGCGCAGACAGUGAGAAGUAGAGCUGCGGGCUGAAACUUCACAGUAAGGGAUGAAGCCCUAAAAUGCAUUAAAGGUGUCAGCUGUGGGCUUUGAAACAAGUUAUGUGGAAACCUGUCCUUAAGAUAGGGGGU